GACGAACGCUGGCGGCAGGCCUAACACAUGCAAGUCGAGCGGAGCGGCGGACGGGUGAGUAAUGCCUAGGUAUCUGCCUGGUAGUGGGGGCUAACGUCCGGAAACGGGCGCUAAUACCGCAUACUAUCAGAUGAGCCUAGGUCGGAUUAGCUAGUUGGUGGGGUAAAGGCCUACCAAGGCGACGAUCCGUAACUGGUCUGAGAGGAUGAUCAGUCACAAUGGAACUGAGACACAGGCAAGAAGCGUACGGGAGGCAGCAGGGGGGAAUAGUGGACAAGGGGCGAAAGCCUGAUCCAGCCAUGCCGAGUGUGUGAAGAAGGUCGUCGGAUUGUAAAGCACUUUAAGUUGGGAGGCGUUACCAACAGAAUAAGCACCGGCUAAAUUCGUGCCAGCCGCCGCGGUAAUUC
rnacentral:rRNA from 1 species